UCCUGUCAUCAAAAAGCGUAUAAACUGUGUUUUGGAACUAGUAGGCGCGCUCUCCUGCUUGUGGGGCGCCCGCCAUUGCAAUCAAUCGCGAGUAAAUUACUACUUCGCUGAGAUCCUCGCCUGAGCCUAAGCUAUCGGCUACGGAGCGUUUCUCACCCUCCCUUCCAACCCAAGCCACGCUCUGAUUCUAUGAGCGGAGCGCCUGUUCUGUGGAGCUCGUUUCCCAGCCGUGCAGGGCCCAGAUUCCCUCCGCGGAGCCGCCCAGCCCGUUUUCGGGCGCCCACUUCCUCCCUCCCGGUCGGCUCCCUCCGCGCCCCGAGGGCACGCGACCUCCCUGAGCGCCGAUAAGCACCGGGUCGACGGGAGCGGAGCCGCCGAGAGGGCGGGGACAAGGGAAGAGGGCAGGCGAGGCAGCCAAUCGAGGCGCGGGGGCGGUCGGCGGCGAUCUGUCGGCCCAAUGAGCGCCGCGGAGGGCCGGGCCGAGUGCGGGAAGUGAGGGGGCGUUGUACCGAGCGGGCGCCGUCAUGGCCGACGGGAUUGUUAGGGCGCAGGCCGCCUGGCCCGGUGGCGGCGCUGCCGCUGCUUUCGGAGAGGUCGCCUGCAAGGGCAAGGAGGUCCCCGCCAACGUUCUCCGUGAGGAUGAGCGGUCGUGGACGAGGAGAAGAGCCGAUGGAACUGCUCAAAGAAACGUGCUCAAGUGGACCUUGAAAUCACAGAAUCGUAGGGGUUGGAAGGGACCUCAAGAGAUCAUCGGGUCCAACUCCCCUGCCAAAGCAGGUUCCCUAGAGCAGGCUGCCCAGGGCCUCAACGCGCGUAGCCGGUGUUCGGGAGGAAGACCGACGUUUUCACAAGGAGAGCCCAGCCUUCCCCUCUUCUUCCUGUUUCCACCUUUUAUUGCUGAGUGUGACAUCGUACGCUCUCCAGCCCGCCCAGGUCUCGCUGAAUGGCAGCACAGCCUUCUGGCGUGUCGGCCACUCCUCCCAGCUUUGUAUCAUGGGCGUACUUGCGGAGGGUGGACACUGUUCGCUCAUCAAGGUCGUCGAUGAAGAUGUUGAACAAGACCGGACCCAGCACCGACCCCUAGGGAACACCGCUAGUCACAGAUCUCCAGCCGGACUCUGCGCCGCCGAUCGCCACCCUCUGAGCUCGGCCAGUCAGCCAGUUCUCAACCCACCUUACCGUCCACUUGUCUAUCCCACGCCUUCUCAGCUUUGCUAGCAGGGUGUCGUGGGAGACAGUGUCAAAAGCCUUGCUAAAGUCAAGGUAGAUGACGUCCGCUGCUCUCCCUCCAUCAACCCAGCUGGUGAUGCCAUCAUAGAAGGCUACGAGGUUGGUCGAGCACGAUUUCCCCUUGGUGAAUCCAUGCUGACUACUCCUCAUAACUUUCUUCUCUUCCAGUGGCUUGGAGAUGGCAUCCGGAACAAGCUGUUCCAACAGCUUUCCAGGGACAGAGGCUGGUUCAUAACACUUUGUUGUCUUGCACUACAAGCACAUACUCCAGAUACAUUUCUGCAAGAUCAAUAUGGAAAUACUUGGGUUUCUAAUUCAUCAGUUGGAGAGCUAAUUUGGCAUUUAAUUAUGUAAUUUGUAAUUGGGAGCUAAUUCAUCAAUUGGAGAGCCAAGGAGUGAUCAGCAAGACUUUUAAUAGUCCCAUAGGGCCAGUGUGAAAGUCUAAUGGUGAGUGGAGACUAACAGUGAACUAUCGUGGCCUGAAUGAAGUCACGCCAACACUGAGUGCUGCAGUACCGGACAUGCUGGAACUCCAGUACAAACCGGAAUCAAAGGCAGCUAAGUGGUAUGCCACAAUUGAUAUCGCUAAUGCAUUUUUCUCCAUCCCUCUAGCAGCAGAGUGCAGGCCACAAUUUGCCUUCACUUGGAGGGGAGUCCAAUAUACUUGGAAUAGGCUGCCCCAGGGG